GAUGAACGCCGGCGGCGUGCCUAAUACAUGCAAGUCGAGCGAACGGACGAGAAGCUUGCUUCUCUGAUGUUAGCGGCGGACGGGUGAGUAACACGUGGAUAACCUACCUAUAAGACUGGGAUAACUUCGGGAAACCGGAGCUAAUACCGGAUAAUAUUUUGAACCGCAUGGUUCAAAAGUGAAAGACGGUCUUGCUGUCACUUAUAGAUGGAUCCGCGCUGCAUUAGCUAGUUGGUAAGGUAGCGGCUUACCAAGGCAACGAUGCAUAGCCGACCUGAGAGGGUGAUCGGCCACACUGGAACUGAGACACGGUCCAGACUCCUACGGGAGGCAGCAGUAGGGAAUCUUCCGCAAUGGGCGAAAGCCUGACGGAGCAACGCCGCGUGAGUGAUGAAGGUCUUCGGAUCGUAAAACUCUGUUAUUAGGGAAGAACAUAUGUGUAAGUAACUGUGCACAUCUUGACGGUACCUAAUCAGAAAGCCACGGCUAACUACGUG
rnacentral:rRNA from 1 species